AAGCCUUACGUCCCUACUCCUGCCUGCACUGAUAAAACUGAACUGCGAGCGAAAACAUGUAAAAACGAUCAUAAAUAGAAAAAUAAUUUGGAACGGUUUCCGUCAUGUCAGCGAUUCCAACAUCGGUUCAAGUUCUAUGACAUCAUACAGUACUUUCCAUCUUUGGAUCUAUUAAAAGUACUCAGAAAACACAGAAAAACCACAAACAAGUACAACAAAUAUCCUAAAGCGCAUAAAAAUAACCGUCCGGGGGGCCCGGCGGUCCCGCUUAUGUCUCCCGUUUCACGAGCCGGGGGAUUCUGGGUCAUUGAAGACCCUUUUUUUUUAAGGGGGGCAAGUCCAUCUUAGUGGCCCAAUAACAUACAAAAAAAAAAAUCAGAAAGCUUGUUUGGCUGCCGACUUGCUGAAAGCGGCCCUUCCAGUCCCGUCUAAAACAGGAGUGACGAUAAAGCUCAUAGAAGGAUCCAGUCAUCACAUAAAGGAUCCAGUCAUCUUAUAGAAAGCUGUCCGUGUAGUUUCGAGCCGUAAAAAAGGAAAACGCGUUGGUAAGAUUGGUAAAGUCACGUGAUUCAA